CCUACGGGAGGCAGCAGUGGGGAAUCUUGCGCAAUGGGCGAAAGCCUGACGCAGCAACGCCGCGUGCGGGAAGAAGGCUUUCGGGCUGUAAACCGCUUUCAGCAGGAACGAAAAUGACGGUACCUGCAGAAGAAGGAGCGGCCAACUAUGUGCCAGCAGCCGCGGUGAUACAUAGGCUUCAAGCGUUGUCCGGAUUUAUUGGGCGUAAAGAGUUCGUAGGCGGUCGAGUAAGUCGGGUGUGAAAAUUCUGGGCUCAACCCAGAGACGCCACCCGAUACUGCUUGACUUGAGUUCGAUAGGGGAGUGGGGAAUUCCUAGUGUAGCGGUGAAAUGCGCAGAUAUUAGGAGGAACACCGGUGGCGAAGGCGCCACUCUGGAUCGAUACUGACGCUGAGGAACGAAAGCAUGGGUAGCAAACAGGAUUAGAUACCCUGGUAGUCCAUGCCGUAAACGGUGGGCACUAGGUGUGGGUUUCUAUUAACGAAAUCCGCGCCGUCGCUAACGCAUUAAGUGCCCCGCUGGGGAGUCGGUCGCAAGACUAAAACUCAAAGGAUUGACGG
rnacentral:rRNA from 1 species